rnacentral:misc_RNA from 1 species
GUGAGUCAUCGAAUCUUUGAACGCACAUUGCGCCCCUUGGUUAUUCCGAAGGGCAUGCCUGUUCGAGCGUCAUUAUCACCCCUCAAGCCCUGGCUUGGUGUUGGACUUUAGUUAUAGCUUUGCCUAUCAACUGGUCUCAAAGAUAGUGACGGCGCCCCAGAGGGAACCGGGUACGAGGAGCUUUUUACCAAGCAUGUAUCUGGGACGACUCUGAUGGGCGACGGUCUUGUUAUACUUUUACCUAAGUGUUGACCUCGGAUCAGGUAGGAAUACCCGCUGAACUUAAGCAUAUCAAUAAGCGGAGGA